ACCUGGGUGGCUCAGUCGGUUGAGCGUCUGACUUCAGCUCAGGUCAUGAUCUCACGGUUUGUGGGUUCGAGCCCCAUGUUGGGCU
rnacentral:tRNA from 1 species